GUGCUUGUUUUGGCAGCACAUAUACUAAAAUUGGAACAAUACAGAGGACAUUAGUAUGGCCCCUGUGCAUGGAUGACACACAAAUCCUUGAAGCAGUCCAUAUUUUU
ensembl:snRNA U6 U6 spliceosomal RNA